rnacentral:misc_RNA from 1 species
CUGAGUACUACACUCUCUACCCUUUGUGAACUAUUAUACCUGUUGCUUCGGCGGCGCCCGCGAGGGGUGCCCGCCGGUCUCAUCAGAAAUCUCUGGUUUUCGAACCCGACGAUACUUCCUGAGUGUUCUUAGCGAACUGUCA